rnacentral:rRNA from 2 species
UACGGAGGAUGCAAGCGUUAUCCGGAUUUAUUGGGUUUAAAGGGUGCGCAGGCGGGAAAAUAAGUCAGUGGUGAAAUCCUGCAGCUUAACUGUAGAAUUGCCGUUGAUACUGUUUUUCUUGAGUGUGGUCAAGGAAGGCGGAAUGUGUAAUGUAGCGGUGAAAUGCUUAGAUAUUACACAGAACACCAAUUGCGAAGGCAGCUUUCUGGGCCGUAACUGACGCUCAUGCACGAAAGCGUGGGGAUCGAACAGG